CAGCAUAAGGAGAAAGAGGCCUGGUUGUCUUCGUUUCUACUGGACCUGGUUUUGUUUCAGCUACGCCAGGUGCUGGCAUAGGUGGAGUAUCUUGAGUAGAAGGCUUUGAUACUGCUUCUAAUGGACUGGCACUUUCUUUCUUGCCACUACUGGGUUGAGUUGGAGUGGGAGAAGUAGGUGGUUUCAGAUCAUCGUAACUGUCCAUAACAGUAACACAAUCGCAUAACUUAGCAGCAGCACAGCAAAAACAUAGACUUUUUGGACAGAAAGUAAGUUCAUUUUGUUAAAUGUUGUAUUCCACAACGAGCAAUUUUUUUUUUUUAUCAAAUUACAGACUCUCUAUGAUAAUGGUCAGAUUCAAGGCCCUCAACUUUUGGCUUUGUCCCUCUCAAUAGAAGGCCUGCAUGUGGCCUUGAAAGAUCAGAACAGAGCUUCACAUGACUACAAGAACCUAACAUGGAACUCAUUGCAGCUACAACAAAUAACAGUUCUUGAUGUAGCUGCUCAAACAAAGUGGGAACAUGUUAGAUUGGACUUACGCGGUAUAAGGAGGGAGUGGCCUUGUCACCAUGGGAAACUUUCACAGUUGAAGAUUACGUGAGAGAAUAAAACUUGGGUGCUCAAUUCUCAUUAUAUAUCAAAAACAUGUUUCGUGUGCCAGAUGCAAUCACCAGUCAUUAUAUGAAGUAGCAGGAGCAGUAAAAGUGUAAAGUACUAAAAGAAGGCUUACGCAGCAUAUGGAGAAAGAGGCCUGGUUGUCUUCGUUUCUACCGGACCUGGUUUUGUUUCAGCUACGCCAGGUGCUGGCAUAGGUGGAGUAUCUGGAGUAGCAGGCUUUGAUACUGCUUCUAAUGGACUGGCACUUUCUUUCUUGCUACUGGGUUGUGUAGGAGUGGGAGAAGUAGGUGGUUUCAGAUCAUCAUAACUGUCCAUAACAGUAACACAAUCGCAUAACUUAGCGGCAGCAAAAACAUGUAGACUUUUUGGACUGAAAGUAAGUUCAUUUUGUUAAAUGUUGUAUUCCAU
rnacentral:lncRNA from 1 species